GAAAAAUUGAAAAUUCCAUCAAAAUUCAUUAAACAUAUGGAAGGAGGGGAUUCUGGAACAACAGUUCUGGUGGGUCCCAGUGGAAAUGCUUGGCCUGUGGACUUAAUACAGCAAGAUGAUGGUUUAUUCUUCAAUAAUGGAUGGGUUUCAUUUGUUAAAGAUCACUGCCUUGAAACAGGGGAUUCUUUGGUUUUCAGAUAUGACGGUGAUUUGCAUUUCACUGUGCAAGUAUUUGACGAGAGUUCAUGUGAGAAGGAGGCUUCUUAUAACGCUGACUGCAGUCAAGGAGCAACUGACUUGUACAAUCUUGCUCU
rnacentral:misc_RNA from 1 species